rnacentral:misc_RNA from 13 species
UUCGGCUUGUAGCCCUAUCACGUCAGGUCAUAUUAAUUUUUCAAUCCGCCCAGUUGGACGUUUGGACAGUUUCCUUUCUCGCGCCGGUCGAUAAUGUUGGCCAACUAACACCGACCUGUAGCACGUCACCCGUAACAAACCCUAACCGCAACCAGUCCAAGCAUCCAAGAUGGGCCAGAAAGUUUCGCGCACCGACUUCGAGUGGGUGUACACGGAGGAGCCGCACGCCUCGCGGCGCAAGAUCAUACUGGAGAAGUACCCGCAGAUCAAGAAGCUAUUUGGCCACGACCCCAACUUCAAGUGGGUGGCCGGCGCAAUGGUUCUGACGCAGAUCCUGGCGCUGUUCGUCGUGAAGGACCUGUCGUGGUCGUGGCUCAUCGUGGCCGCCUACUGCUUCGGCGGCAUCAUCAACCACUCGUUGAUGCUGGCCGUGCACGAGAUCUCGCACAACCUGGCCUUUGGACACAGCAGACCUAUGCACAACCGGAUCCUGGGCUUCAUCUGCAACCUGCCCAUCGGGUUGCCCAUGAGCAUUUCCUUCAAGAAGUACCACCUCGAACAUCACCGUUACCAAGGUGAUGAGACAAUUGACACUGACAUACCCACACUGUUGGAGGCGCGCCUGUUUGACACCACAUUUGGAAAGUUUCUGUGGGUGUGCCUGCAGCCUUUCUUCUACAUUUUCCGUCCACUGGUGAUUAACCCGAAGCCACCUACACGCCUGGAGAUUAUUAACACCGUGGUGCAGCUGACUUUCAACGCCCUGAUCGUUUACUUUCUGGGCUGGAAGCCACUGGCCUAUCUGUUGAUCGGCAGUAUUCUAGCCAUGGGACUGCACCCGGUGGCCGGACACUUUAUCUCGGAGCACUACAUGUUCGCCAAGGGCUUUGAGACGUACUCCUACUACGGUCCGCUCAACUGGAUCACCUUCAAUGUGGGCUACCACAACGAGCAUCACGACUUUCCGGCGGUGCCCGGCUCCAGGCUGCCAGAGGUUAAGCGCAUCGCCAAGGAAUUCUACGACACAAUGCCACAGCACACCAGCUGGACCCGGGUUCUGUACGACUUCAUCAUGGACCCAGCAGUGGGACCUUACGCACGCGUGAAGCGACGCCAGCGCGGCCUGGCCUCCUAAGCCAUCGAUGCUAUUCAAGGUUUCCUGCCAUGAAUGUAAUCUCAGCGUUAGACCUAAAACGGCUUUUUUAUGUAUAUAUACAUCGUAGAGACAUUUACAGCGGAUGCAGAAGAAAUAAGGGGAACAACCACACACAUAGCACCAGCUAAUCUCUGUGAUUAGAUAAGGGGCAUUCGGACACUUGCAGCGGCUGAUAUGAACAAUUACGUGGAUAUAGUUUUUGGUAUUAUUGCUAGAGUGUGAGCUUAGUGAGGUUCGUUGGCCUAACUGAUAGACACUUUCGAGCGCUUUAAUUAAUUGUUACCUCAUAAAUUGGAAAGCCUGUUAAAUCUAGUGUAUCAUUUAUGUGCAGACACGAUUUGGUGUGAUCAAUCUUAAUCCUUAUCGCCGCCACCCUGGCCGACAGCAAGCCACUAAUCAAGCAACCAACUACUAUUUUUGAUAGACUCUUGAAACUGUUACCUAAGAAUAAAGUCUAAAUAAUUUGACCGGGGUGGCUGCAUGUACAGAAUACACUAUAAAAUUUGUAAGCAAACUAAUGAAAUAAAUAACAACAUCGUAUUGUAACGACUCUGUGA